GACGAACGCUGGCGGCGGGCUUAACACAUGCAAGUCGAACGGAAAGGCCCUGCUUUUGUGGGGUUCUCGAGUGGCGAACGGGUGAGUAACACGUGAGUAACCUGCCCUUGACUUUGGGAUAACUUCAGGAAACUGGGGCUAAUACCGGAUAGGAUCUCCUGCUGCAUGGUGGGGGUUGGAAAGUUUCGGCUGUUGGGGUUGGACUCGCGGCUUAUCAGCUUGUUGGUGGGGUAGUGGCUUACCAAGGCUUUGACGGGUAGCCGGCCUGAGAGGGUGACCGGGCACAUUGGGACUGCGAGAGGGACCAGACUGCUACGGGAGGCAACGGUGGGAAAUAUUGCACAAUGGGACGGAGCCUGAUGAAGAAACGCCGCGUGCGGGAAGACGGCCUUCGGGGUGAAAACAGCUUUCGCCUGUGACGAAGCGGGAGUGACGGUAAUGGGUAAAGAAGCACCGGCUAACUACGUG
rnacentral:rRNA from 1 species